AAAAGAACAUUAGUUUCUCGACUCAACCUAAUUAACUUCCUACAUAGAUUCAACAGAAACCAAACGUUCUUUCACAUUCUUAUCCCGAUUCUCUGAAUAUUUCCAAUUUCAGGAACUCAAUGGAUCAAACACAGUUGUCUAUCAUCUAAUUGUUUCCACAUCCACUCCUAAUCACCAUCUGAGUUCUUAGGCAUCCAACAGUAAAAUUGAGCAACAAGCUUCAAUCUUGUGCAUAAUUGAUUGGUUACAAUAUUUGCAGAAUCUAAAAAUUGAUGAGAAAUUACCUUGGUUCGUAGAGAAUAGAGAAAGUUUGAGGUCAGUCCGUCUCCUUGGUUCGUAGAGCAUUGGUUCACUGUUUAUUUUAAAUUAUUUUGCAACUCUGUCAUUCACUGUCUCUCUUUCUUCCUUUUGCCUACCUCUGCCUUUUCGUUUCUCUCUUCCUCUCUCUCUCCUUGGAGCGAAACAGCGGCAGCAGCCUCUGUUUUGUUCCGUUUCUUCUCUUCCACCGACCACCACCGCUUCUGAAGAAUAAAUAUGAUCCCCUCAGAGAAGAUAUAUCCGCUGGAUACGACAAUGUCAAGGAUCUUCGCCAUCUUGAGGAUUGGAAAAUCUCUGGAGUUGACUAUGGCAAGUUUUAAGCUUUGGAAUGAGUUAGAUAAGUGUUUCCCUCGGGUGCAUUUGUCUGUUGUUGAUGAAAUGAAAUCGUCCAGUAAAGGCAUAUGUUAAUCGUGGAGAAUGAGGCUUGUCGCCAUUUGUUUUCAGCUUUGAAAGUACUAGUAGCGAGAGGGAAGCUGCUAAUAACCCUGGGGGAUCAGUUGACUCCGCUGGUUUCCAACGUUUGAUAGAAGACCUUGCUGAUGCAACUGCUGAACCAAACUUCCAGGCCUCAGAAACAAAGUCCUUAGAGAAUAUGUUGCUGUUUCAAUACCUAGUUAACUCUCUUGAAGUAGGUUUUCAACCUCGCAACUGUAUCUAUGCAGAAACUGCAAACUAGGUCCUUCUGAGAGAGUCUUUGCUCAACAUGCAUGCUUUUGGUAUCAAGAAAGAUAAACUACAAAAACUUGAUGAAGGAUUGCUUGGCCAUUAUGUGUAAGCUGUAUCAAACCAAUGCUGGAUUCACUGAUGAUCUGAUAAGUUCAGAGAAGUCUAUGGCACAACCAGCUGAAAAUUUUGAUACCGCUGCUACAAUUGCUUUUCUUGAGAUAGGAAAGAAUACCUGUAUAGCCAUGCAGAAGUUUCUGAUAAUGAUUAUGGAGCUUGACUUGUCGAAGAAGACAGCAGAAAUGCAAGGGUCUACUACAAGAGCAGAUGGUGUCAGAACUCCUCUGCUGGAGAUAGUUCUGGACGAGCUAACUUACGAUAAGGAUAUUCUUGACUCAUUUCUUCAAGUUCAAAUCUCUUUCCAUUUUCCAUUCAUGGUUCGUUCUGUUUCUGUAUUUGUAUAUAGUCUGAAGCAUAUGUUACAGUCAGUGUGUUUGACUACAAACGGAACAUGUUUGAUAUCUCCCUUAAACUUUAAUGGUGAGAAUUACAGAUUUUAUCACCUUAAAUUUUGACUAUUUAUGAUAAGUUGGACACGAUAUCUCCGGUUCUGAGGGAGGUGGCGAGCUCGUCAGCGACAGUCAAACAAGAGGAGACCCGGCCGUUGAGAGUCAACCAGACCAUCUCGGCCAUCCAGAGAGUCAUGUUCCAUGGCAUUGCCAUCUCUCUCUCUCUCUCUCUCUGCUCUUUGGUCUCGAGAUUUCCUUUCCUCUCUAAAGUCCAAUUUGCGUGAGUUCUUGUUGGGUUACGCAUCCUAAUUUAUUGAAUAGAAACAAAUAAAAUACCAACCAAGUUUGGAUUUUUUUGGCUCUUGAAGCAAGGAAGCUCGUGGCCUAGUGGAUAAGGUGUCUUGCUUCUAAUCACGCGAUUGUGGGUUCGAAUCCCCUCCCGGCGUGCUUUAUUAUUCCUGUUUGGUUUUUAAUAUCAUGAGUCAGAAAUUUGGAUUUGCUUCAAGAAGCUUUCAACACCAAUAAAAUGGCCUAAAUUAGCAAUUCUGGGAGAUGCUGCCUUUCAGUCAACAAUGGCUUCAGAAUCUGCUUCCUCCUGUUACAAUGCACCAGAAACCAAGUACAGUAAGAAAGCAACUGAACAGAUGGAUGUGUACAGCUUUGGUGUGGUACUAUUGGAGCUAGUGAGGGGUCGGCAAGCGGAGCAAGCAUUACAAUCUGAGUCUCUCGAUAUAGUGAAGUGGGUACGACGAAAGGUCAACAUUACAAAUGGAGCGGUCCAAGUUCUUCAUCCCAAGAUAACAAGUUCAGCCCAGCAAGAGAUGCUAAUAGCUCUAGAAAUUACUCUGCAUUGCACUUCUGUGAUGCCGGAAAAGAGACCAUCAAUGUCUGAAGUUGUGAAAUCACUUCAGUCCCUCGACUCGAUGACUCACACUGCUGUUGUAGACUUUUCUGCCUUUGAGGAGCAUUCGGUUGUCUGAGCAAUGAGUUACAAGUAACUGGGAUUUUAUUUGCAUUCCAUAUAAAUUGAACUUCAUUCUAUGUAGCGACUCUUGAUGAGUAAAAGAAGACGGUUGGGAAUGGUUUUUUCGUCUGUUGUUUCAGAGAAUCAAGAGAUUUGGUUAACUACAAUGUAAUGCCAUUAUGUAUUCAAGCUU